rnacentral:rRNA from 1 species
UAGGGAAUCUUCCGCAAUGGGCGAAAGCUUGACGGAGCAACGCCGCGUGAGAGAUGAAGGUCUUCGGAUCGUAAAACUCUGUUAUUAGGGAAGAACAAAUGUGUAAGUAACUAUGCACGUCUUGACGGUACCUAAUCAGAAAGCCACGGCUAACUACGUGCCAGCAGCCGCGGUAAUACGUAGGUGGUAAGCGUUAUCCGGAAUUAUUGGGCGUAAAGCGCGUGUAGGCGGUUUUUUAAGUCUGAUGUGAAAGCCCACGGCUCAACCGUGGAGUAUCAUUGGAUACUCGAACACUUGAGUGCAGAAGAGGAAAGUGGAAUUCCUUGUGUCUCGGUGAUAUACACAUAUAUAUGGAGGAACACCAGUGGCGAAAGCGACUUUCUGGUCUCUAACUGACGCUGAUAUGCGACAGCAUGGGGAUCAAACAGG